UACGUAGGGGGCAAGCGUUGUCCGGAAUCAUUGGGCGUAAAGGGCGCGUAGGCGGGCAUACAAGUCUGAUGUGAAAGUGCGGUGCUUAACGCCGUAAAGCAUUGGAAACUGUGUGUCUUGAGGACAGGAGAGGAAAGUGGAAUUCCACGUGUAGCGGUGAAAUGCGUAGAGAUGUGGAGGAACACCAGUGGCGAAGGCGACUUUCUGGACUGUAACUGACGCUGAGGCGCGAAAGCGUGGGGAGCGAACAGG
rnacentral:rRNA from 1 species